GCUCCAGGCACUUCAAACCCUCUGCAUUUCUUUACCGAGGAAGGCUGCGUCGUGAUGCAAUACCAGCAUAUUUGACCACUGAGGGUGCCGGAGAUGCCGUCCAGAGCAGCAGCCCUGGCCAAUUGACUAGCGAGGGCGAGCCCACACUGGCCAGCAGCAGUAGCACCGAUGGGCCCACAUCAUCACGGUGUCACACGCACCACACAACAGAAGAAGAUGUGGGGAGCAGUCUCACGGCUCUGACCUCUGGCACGAAGACUAGCCCUCCAACCAGAGUUCAUGUGGAUCACACAUACGCGAUGCAAGGCGCGAUGGAUGGACAU